rfam:Myotis davidii contig186214, whole genome shotgun sequence.
GGCAGUUCUUGGAUGACUCAUCCUGGAAUCAGGCUCCCUCCUCUCUACAUGUGCGUCACCCGAGAACCGCA